UCGAACGAAACUUUCUAUCAGCCCUAAAGGCAAAAUAAAAAAUCCUCUCUCUCAAAUCUCAACCUUGUUUAUCUCAAAUCCCAACUUUCAGCACUGAAACACACCUCUUCUUCUCUUAGAAUCCACCAUGGAAUCCGAUUUACGCUACUCCUUUUCUAGGGCAGGCCUCAAAUCCAUCACCACUGAUCUUGGUGAUGGUAUGCUCGUCCACUAUUAUGCGCCCAAAUUCAGAAGAGAGACAAAACCUAAUUUGCUUAUAAAUGGAUUUGGGGCCGUCUGGUUCUGGGAAGUCCCGUCUCGCUAUCGAUUUGGCUUCUCAUUUCCCUGUCGAGAUCAUCAAUGCUGACUCUAUGCAGGUUUAUCGAGGAUUGGACGUUCUCACAAACAAAGUUUCCCCCAAAGAUCAAAAUGGAGUACCUCAUCAUCUUUUUGGUACAGUGAGUCCAGACGUCGAAUUCACGGCUAAAUACUUUCAAGAUUCUGCCAUUCCUUCUACAAUGGGAGCAUUCAAACAACUGAUGCCUGUGCAACAAUUUUCCAUAGAGAAGAUUUGUACAUGUAAAAAAUAUGAGGUUGAGUUCAACAAAGCUACACAAUCUUUGACUUACACAGCGACCAUUCUAAUUGCUCAAAAGAGAGAUGCUUUAAAAAGAUUAAUCAGGGUGAUUUUCUUCUACUUCAUCCAAAUUCCUUUCUUGUUAUUUUUAAUGGAUGGACUCUUGGCAAGCAUCGAAGGCCAUAGGUGGAGAGAUUCUUGAAUUUCAGUUUAUAGCUUACAUACCAUAUGUGAUUGUUAAGAUAUAUGUAACAUGUUUGUUGAUUAAAACUUUCGUCUUGUUCACACCUUGUAUGCUUCUUCUAUUUAGUAUUUUUAUACUGGUAUGAGAAUGCUAAAGAGAGCUGGAAAAAUUGGCAAGUUUGUUAGCAUCUUUGUGAAUGAGAAGCAAGUGAGUUUCUCUUAUGUACCUGUUCGAAUAUGUUUAAUGUGUCAGAUACUUUAGGUUUGUUCUUAUGUUACAAUGCUUAUAAGUACAAUAUUGAGCAGUUAUGGAUAACAAUGUGCAGUGGUUUUUAGCAUAAAGUUUUAAUUUAUACAUGUAUUUUUGUAGUCACUUUAACCCAUUUUGCUGAAGGAAUUCAAGCAACAUAUUUUAUUUUAAAUGCCUUAAGCCCAGAGCAAGGGUAUUAUGCUCUAUCUAUCAAUUAUAUUACUUUGAAAAUCGCUUGUAUAUAAAAAUGUUUGAUAAUAUUUUUGCUGAAGAAACUGAAAAAGAUUGCAGUAUUCUUUUUUUUAACAGCGUGGUGCUUGAACUUUCAUGGUCAACCACUUUGACUGCUACUACUGUGAAAAGUAUGGUUCGACCUACGUUUACAACAAAGCUGAUGUGAUUAGAUUUAUCUUUUUGUUUUUAAUCAUGUUUUUUAUUUAUCUAAAAGAUAGGAAGAUGGUUUCUUGUUCAAUUUCAUAGGGUUGCAAAACAUCGCGAGUUUAAAAAAAAAAAGGUUGCAACAGCAACUUCAAUUUUUGGAGGAUAAGGUCGCGGCCUUGAUUUCUAGAGGACCACUAGGGAAUCGGUUUCAAUUUUUAGAAGAGGUCUGCAACUUCGAUUUUUAGAUGUUGGCUGCAGUGUUAGUUUCGAUUUGUAGAGGUGAGGGGAAUUUAAUUUUGAUUUUUAGUUGAAGAAUAAGCUUUAGGUUUUGGUUGUCAGAAUGAGGCAUAAUAGACUAAUCAACUGUUUGAUAUUUGGAUGUGAAACUUUUUAUGGGCUUUUAGUGGUUGAAUUCUCUAUUGAUUAAGGUUUGUGUUUGUUAAGCGUAACAACAAUGCAACUGGUGGGGCAAUGAAGAAGGUAAGGAUAAAUGAAUGGUUCUUAAUUCUGAAAGAGUGAGGUAAGUGACUGCUUUUAAUUUAUAGCUUUGGGGUGAGUGUUACUUGAUACUUAGACAAUAUAUCCUUGGAUUUCAAUCCGGAUAAACUUUCAUGGUUCCUAAUGUAGCAAACAUUGUUCUGCCAUGAGAUAUAUGAAGUAUUGUUCAAAUCUCUUGCAUUAUCUAAGUCAGAGUUGAAUUUAUUUUGGUUGUCUUUAGGCAAGCAAAAAAGUGAUUUCAAGUGUUUGCAUUUUUCUUCUUGUAACAGAAUGGAUCAACUAAAACCAUAUGCAGCCCUUGAAUUGGCAGUGAACAGACUUGAAGUAUGUUAGUUUCCAUUCUUCUUGCAGUUUGAUUUAAAUGUGGAUGAAAUGAUACCUUUACGCGUGGAAAGAUCAAAGACGGAAAGCUCAAUUCCAUGAUGCUAUAAUCCUUAAUAUUUGAUAAAUUUUGUAUUUUGUGAACGUUGUAUAGUUGCAAAUUACACUUGAUGUAUUUCUUGUAAUUAUUGGAUAAUUUAUUUAGUUUCUAAUGUAAAUUGAUUCCUAAAUUUCAAUAAUGAAAAGGAAGUCAUUGUAUUUAAUGCAUA